rfam:Ictidomys tridecemlineatus contig042303, whole genome shotgun sequence.
AGGGAUGUAGCUCAGUGAUAGAGUGCUUGACUAGCAUACAUAAGACCCUGGGUUUGAUCCCCAGCACUGCCA